UUUCUCUCUAAUGUUAGCUCUAUUUUGGUCUCGACCAACACCUGGGGGAAAUAUCUGGCUUUAUAUGCUAUGUUCAGUUGCUAACUUUAUCUCUCUGUUUCGUGCUACGAAGCUAUAGGUACAGUGGAUUUACUAGAAUUUCUUUGCUGAAAAUAGCUGACUGCUGCUACUGCUGCUGCUGCAGGAAACUGGGUUGAUGAAAGCAUUUGCAACUGAGUCAAAAAGUGAAGUCUUAAAACCAAAACAAUGAGCAGAGAGAAGUUAAAACGGUCCGCAGGGCUGGGAGGAACUGCAAAGUCAGCCAUCCUGUAUCCUGUAUUCAGUUCCCUGUUCCUGUUCCUGUGGUUUAGACCUUCCGCCUGUUUGGGACCUGGCUGCCUGCCUUGCCCCUUUGGACAUGUUUACAUGUUUUGGACUGCCUUCCUGUUACUAAUCUGUAAGCCUGUCUUUUGGAAUUCAUUUAUUAAAGCCUUUCUCAUUUGAUCUGUC